UACAGAGGGUGCAAGCGUUGCUCGGAUUUACUGGGCGUAAAGCGUACGCAGACGGUGAGACAGGUCGGAUGUGAAAGCCCCGGGCUCAACCCGGGAACUGCAUCCGAAACCAUCUCGCUCGAGUGUGGGAGAGGGAAGCGGAAUUCCUGGUGUAGAGGUGAAAUUCGUAGAUAUCAGGAGGAACACCGGCGGCGAAGGCGGCUUCCUGGCCCAUUACUGACGUUCAGGUGCGAAAGCGUGGGUAGCAAACAGG
rnacentral:rRNA from 1 species